AAACCCUUGGCAGAAAUGGAUGACGCGGUCAGCUGAGUUGUCGCCAUUCCUUUCUGAGCUCAAUCAAGAAACCCCACAACAGAAAUGGUCAAUAUCCUCAAAUACCAGUAGCCAAAAGUGUACAAGUAUGAAUAAAAACUCAAGAAUUAUGAAUGUAAUCAAGAACCCCACAACAAAUGGUACCCCACAUGCAAAAAGAGCAAAACCAAAGGUAAGAACCAUAUAAUUGUGAACUAAAUCAAUCCCCACAACAAAAAGGGUAAAACAGCAGCUCCAGACAAGCAAAAAUAGUAAAAAUUGUGACUAGCUAUAGAAUUAAAGAUAAAAGCAGCACAGCCAGAAGCAAAAAAUAGGAACAGUUACAUAUAAGAACCAUAACAUUCUGAACUAAAUCAAGAACCCCACAACAAAAAUAGCACAGCAGAAACAAAAUUAUGGUAAAUUGGAAGACAAAAAUUCAAGAAUGUUGGUCAAUGAUAAUAAAGGUAGCACCUUUAUUGGAAAAUUGGUUUCACUAAUAACAAAGGAGAAGUUUUCUCUAGAUAAGAACCAUAAAAUUCUGAACUAAAUCAAGAACCCCUAUACAAAAAUGGUCACAAGAACAGCAAACAGAAGCAAAAUUAUAGUAAAUUUAAUGAGAAAAGCUCAAGAAUUUCAAUCAAAUCAUUAAAAAGGAAGUACCUUUAUUGACAAAAUAGGUUUGACUGGUAGCAAUGGAGAGGUUUUCUCUACUAUGGAGUGAGGAGUGAAUAAGGGGUGUGUUUUAGACUGUUUGAAGAUAAAAUGUGUAGAGCUGUUAAGGAUAACAAAACCCUAGAAGUUUC
rnacentral:lncRNA from 1 species